rnacentral:lncRNA from 1 species
AAAGAGAGAGAAGAGACAAACAAAGAGGAGUUACGUUAGUGAAGAUUUUUUCGUAUAGCUAUAACAAUAGGGUUUUAAGAGGUCAAUGGUGAAAUAGUCGGUAAAAUAACUUAUAUACAUUAGAGUGAUAAAUCUAGGGACUUACAGCUAAUUACAAAUAAUUAUCAUCACAUGGAACUAAUUAUAGUGCAUUCCUAGGUACAUAUAUGUUAAUGUAGCUAGUGGUCUAUUAUCAUUA